GACCUGGAUUCUACCAGCUUGAGCCCUGGGCUGGGUGGGAUCGUCUGCUCAGGCAUCCUGAUCACAACCUCACUGGUAUUGUGGGCAGCAAGAGAGAUGGAACACUCAACAGUGGCCCCAGGACUGGAAAAGAUGAGGCUUCAGGAAUCAAAAUCACUUGCUGAGGUCACAGAUCCAGUCCGCAGUCUUCCGGAUGACGUCUUUUCCUCAGCCCGCUCCCAGCCUGGCUCUGCUUCCUCCUGGCGGCUAUGAGAAGCAACGAGAAACCAGGCUCCAUUUGUGGCUGCCAUUUCGUGAGCACCUACCACAUGCCAGGCCUUACACUGGGGACCCUAUGUGAGUGGAACACCACCCCUGACCCUAAGGUGCUCGCUCUCCAGUGAAGAACAGCCGUGGAACAGCUGAACUUGGCAGCAGACUGUGGUUGGCAUCCUAAGAGAUUAAGGAGG
ensembl:lncRNA